rnacentral:rRNA from 1 species
ACGCUGACAGAAUGCUUAACACAUGCAAGUCAACUUGAAUUUGGGUUUUUAACUUAGGUUUGGGUGGCGGACGGGUGAGUAACGCGUAAAGAACUUGCCUCACAGGUAGGGACAACAUUUGGAAACGAAUGCUAAUACCUAAUAUUAUGAUAAUAGGGCAUCCUAUAAUUAUGAAAGCUAUAAGCGCUGUGAGAGAGCUUUGCGUCCCAUUAGCUAGUUGGAGAGGUAACGGCUCACCAAGGCGAUGAUGGGUAGCCGGCCUGAGAGGGUGAUCGGCCACAAGGGGACUGAGACACGGCCCUUACUCCUACGGGAGGCAGCAGUGGGGAAUAUUGGACAAUGGACCGAGAGUCUGAUCCAGCAAUUCUGUGUGCACGAUGAAGUUUUUCGGAAUGUAAAGUGCUUUCAGUUGGGAAGAAACAAAUGACGGUACCAACAGAAGAAGUGACGGCUAAAUACGUGCCAGCAGCCGCGGUAAUACGUAUGUCACGAGCGUUAUCCGGAUUUAUUGGGCGUAAAGCGCGUCUAGGUGGUUAUGUAAGUCUGAUGUGAAAAUGCAGGGCUCAACUCUGUAUUGCGUUGGAAACUGUAUAACUAGAGUACUGGAGAGGUAAGCGGAACUACAAGUGUAGAGGUGAAAUUCGUAGAUAUUUGUAGGAAUGCCGAUGGGGAAGCCAGCUUACUGGACAGAUACUGACGCUGAAGCGCGAAAGCGUGGGUAGCAAACAGGAUUAGAUACCCUGGUAGUCCACGCCGUAAACGAUGAUUACUAGGUGUUGGGGGUCGAACCUCAGCGCCCAAGCAAACGCGAUAAGUAAUCCGCCUGGGGAGUACGUAC